rnacentral:tRNA from 1 species
GGGCGAUUAGCUCAGUUGGCUAGAGCGUCUGCCUUACACGCAGAAGGUCACAGGUUCAAGUCCUGUAUCGCCCA